rnacentral:rRNA from 1 species
ACGGGAGGCAGCAGUGGGGAAUAUUGGGCAAUGGGCGCAAGCCUGACCCAGCAACGCCGCGUGAGGGAAGAAGGCUUUCGGGUUGUAAACCUCUGUCCUUGGUGACGAACACAAUGACGGUAGCCAAGGAGGAAGCCCCGGCUAACUACGUGCCAGCAGCCGCGGUAAUACGUAGGGGGCGAGCGUUGUCCGGAAUUACUGGGCGUAAAGGGUGCGUAGGUGGUCGGCUAAGUUAGAUGUGAAAUCCCCGGGCUUAACUUGGGGCUUGCAUCUAAAACUGGUUGACUAGAGUGCAGAAGAGGAAAGCGGAAUUCCUAGUGUAGCGGUGAAAUGCGUAGAUAUUAGGAGGAACACCAGUGGCGAAGGCGGCUUACUGGACGGUAACUGACGUUGAGGCUCGAAAGCGUGGGGAGCAAACAGGAUUAGAUACCCUGGUA